UAAGACGAACCGUGCUAACGUUAUUCGGAUUCACUGGGCUUAAAGCGCGUGUAGGCGGGCCAGCACGUCGGUCGCUGAAAUCCCCCGGCUUAACCGGGGAACGGGCGCCGAUACGACUGGCCUGGAGGGAGGUAGGGGGAGCCGGAACUCACGGUGGAGCGGUGAAAUGCGUUGAGAUCGUGAGGAACGCCCGUGGCGAAAGCGGGCUCCUGGACCUCGCCUGACGCUGAGACGCGAAAGCCAGGGGAGCGAACGGGAUUAGAUACCCCGGUAGUCCUGGCCGUAAACACUGGGCACUGGGUAGGGGACUCGCCGAUGGGUUCCCUGCCGCAGCGAAAGCGUGAAGUGCCCCGCCUGGGGAGUAUGGUCGCAAGGCUG
rnacentral:rRNA from 1 species